rnacentral:tRNA from 1 species
ACCCAGGUGGCUCAGUCGGUUGAGCAUCCAACUCUUGAUGUUGGUCCAGGUCAUGAUCUCUAAGUUUGUGGGUUUGAGUCCCACUUCGGGCU